rnacentral:lncRNA from 1 species
CUUGAAUUCAAAAUAAUCCAAGCUAACUUAACACGUUAAAAAAAAUAAAGCUACAUUCUUUACAACAAAUCUUUCAGUUAUGCCAAAAAUACAAAUUCCAGAAUAUAUUUGUAAUAAUAAUAAUGCUAAGGCCUCCAGGCAUGCCAAAUUUCCAGUCUUGUGGAUAUAAACUGUAAGCAUUGUGCAUUUUUCUUUCAGCCGUCAGAUCCUCUCCUCUGAAGAGAUCAUCGUUGAAGAACAGCUUGAGAUAAGCACGACGAACCAGAAGAACACAGAGGGAUCCCGAUGGCUGUCAGAUCAAGCAGUAGCAGUUGGCCUAAAAAAGAAACCAAACCACCUCCCAGCCACAGCCGCUUAUGAUGGCUGACACGGCGAGCCUUGGAGCAUGGUGACCUCCAUAGAUGGCAGCCAGCAAAACCUGGUUGGACCUGCAGAGAUAUAGCACAAUUAAAAGGGCUGGCACUUCGGAUUGCAACAUUACUGAAACGAAAAGCGUGAACACUACAGGAAUUUCUGCUCUAUGGAAAAAUGUUAUUUUUGGAUUCUUCGGGAAGGCAUGCAUAUAAAACCACUGGUUCCCUGAGAAAAAGAACUGGAGCCCAAGGAGCUCAAAAAUUGGAGAUUUUCAUCGUGCUCUGCCCUGCUGUUGCCUUCGACUGUUCCUCGCCGUGCCCCCUCCCUGCUGUCGCCCCAUCCCGGCCACAUUUUGGCUCUCGGAGGAGGUGAGUGCCGGGGCCCUCGUGGGCCACCCACGGUCCUCCGGGCCCACAAGGAUUUGGCUUUAUAUAGCACCUGGGAGAUGCAUGUCAGAUAACGCUGGCAGGCUUUCAAAACCUUCUCUGCAGCUUUUGUGCCAAGACCUAUAGGACGCGUUCCAGAGCAUCUCGCAGGAAUGUUUGUUAUUAUGGCAGGCCAAGAAAAAAAAGAGGGGGGAAAAGAGGCAGUGCGGGAGCACAUCGCUGUUAAUUACCAAAAAUCCUUUAAUAACCCACAUUACUAUAAAUGAUGUGUGCAUUACGGGGAGGACAAUUGAGGGCUCUGUUUUUCUUGCCCCACGUUGGGGCGUGGAACAAUGCCCCCUUGUUGCCCAGCCCGAGGUGGUGGCACUCCUGGUGAAAUUGGGGUUUCUCCAUCCCGUACCUGUGCCCGCUGUGAAAACCCCAUUGUUCGUCGCCCGGGGACAGGCAGGGGCCGUCACGCGACCUUAUCUCCACACAAAGCCCAUCAGGACAUUUCUGAGGAGGUUUUAAGGUUUCCAUAAGAAAUUGGAUUCAUUAACCCAAAGCUGUGCGGGUGCAGCCGGGGCUCCG